rnacentral:pre_miRNA from 1 species
AACCGAACCGAACCGAACCGAACCGAAAAAAUAACUUUUUCCAAUUUGGUAUUUUUGUAUUGGUAUGUUUGCUUAAUUUCGGUU